GAUGAACGCUGGCGGCGUGCCUAAUACAUGCAAGUCGAACGAGUUCUGAUUAUUGAAAGGUGCUUGCAUCUUGAUUUAAUUUUGAACGAGUGGCGGACGGGUGAGUAACACGUGGGUAACCUGCCCUUAAGUGGGGGAUAACAUUUGGAAACAGAUGCUAAUACCGCAUAAAUCCAAGAACCGCAUGGUUCUUGGCUGAAAGAUGGCGUAAGCUAUCGCUUUUGGAUGGACCCGCGGCGUAUUAGCUAGUUGGUGAGGUAACGGCUCACCAAGGCAAUGAUACGUAGCCGAACUGAGAGGUUGAUCGGCCACAUUGGGACUGAGACACGGCCCAAACUCCUACGGGAGGCAGCAGUAGGGAAUCUUCCACAAUGGACGCAAGUCUGAUGGAGCAACGCCGCGUGAGUGAAGAAGUCUUUCGGGUCGUAAAACUCUGUUGUUGGAGAAGAAUGGUCGGCAGAGUAC
rnacentral:rRNA from 2 species